rnacentral:miRNA from 1 species
UUCUUUACAGUGGGUCUCUUU